rnacentral:lncRNA from 1 species
AAGAUGAGAUGCUAAACAAAUAAAUAUAAAUAGACAAAUAAGAAGUGAUUUAUUCCCACUGCUCACGUAAUACAUUCCCGCAUUCUCUUCAUGAUGUUUAUGAAAUUAUUCAUUUAAAAUCGAGUAGGAAUUUGUUCCUAAAGUACAUUCUACCUAAUAAAUUUCCUGUUACAUGCAAACACACAUUUUCAAAAACACACACUGUAGGCACACAGAAAUUGUAAAAAAAAGAAAAUAGAAAUGAAACAAGUGACUACGAUCCAACCUUUUCAGAUCCAUUAGAUCCUAUACCAAUGUUCAUUCUAAUUUACAUUUUUCCUCACAAAUCGUUCGUCCAAACACACCAUAGUCUUUCAUGAAUAACAAUGUGAAUGCCCACUCUCAAAGUUAAAAUUUGGAAAGGAUACAAUUAAAUCGCUGAUUUAAACUCAAGUGGAAGUUGAAUUUUUUAAUUUUCUUUUGAACUUUUAUUGAUUUAGAACAUUAAUUGGCUUCUGAUGAUUGUUUUCUAUUCUUUUUUAAACUCCUUUUCUUUCUAUACACAAAAAAAAGGCCAGUCCAUGGAUAUUUGCAUGGGAAACAUUAUAAAAGGAUAUAAGAGCGACUUGCUAAUCAGUGAACAGCAACUGUAGACACCUCAAAUUGCAAUGAUAACUCGGAACUUCUAAAUUCUCAGCACCACCCCCAAAAAGUUAACGUUUUGUAAUUUGUUCGUAGACACAAAACCAGGUCAUUUCAAGAAGCAUUCCACGCCUUCAACCUCCACAAAUCUAAUUCACACACCCCACCACCACCUCCCUCGGCCCUCCACCUAAGGCAGGAAAGCAAGGUGGGUUGCCUCCCUCUCUUUGGCAGCCCUCCACCCAAUUAAGAACAGGAAGCCAAGCAUGGUGGGUUGGGUGCGUGGUGCCUGGUUGGAAAAAGGAGGGUGGCUGGUAAGGUGGUGUGAGUGGAGAUCUGGGUCCAAUGGACAGAGGGAGAAGGGGGAGCCAUGGUUAAAAAUGCCUAAAAAAUCUAUAAUGGUCAAAACCUGUGAAAAAUCAUGUAGCGUGUGAAACAUGUUUGGGUAUGAUUGUUGUUGAGGAAAGCGAAAAAUCAGCUGAAUGUUGCCGUCUUCCCAAUCAAUUUGAAUGGAGCAUAAAGUGGAAUAUCAGCAAAAAAAGACCAAAAGAAAGAAAAGAAAAGAAAAAUUUCACAAGUGAACGCAAAUUGUGGCAGUAGUUCCCGAGUUUGACUAAAUUGCAUCAACACAUUCUCAUGCCAUUUAAUGUGGCGAGGAAGGAAACAGACAAGAGACUUUAGAAUUGUCAGGAUAUGGAAUGCCAUAGGCAAUUCAUUGGGCAUAAUACAGUAUGAGAUGUGAUUGGGAGGAAAAAGUACACAUCUUUGAGAGAACAGGGAAAAAUGAGUAGUAGGGAAGAUGAAGAAGAACAAGAAGAGAUCAAGCCGAAAGUUGAUAUCAACAAAAACAAAACAAAACCAGGAAGUUUCAAUAAACUUGAGGCAAAUUGACACAGUAGUAGCCGAAUAUUGACAAAAAUGAUCAACUACUUUUCCUGCCCAUUUUAGAUGUUCAAACAGUACUUGCCAGUCCUUGGGGCAUAAUUUCCAGUAGAGCUGUAGGGGAAUUGUAAGGAAUUUAUGCCAAUGUAGGCACAUGUUAAAAGAAACUAAUCAGAGACAAUGAACAUAAAUUUACAGCAUCCAUCAGGGAGAUUCCAAACAAAAAAAAUAUAAAAAAUACUUUUACCAUGUUGCAUUUCCGUUAGUCAGAAAUUAGAAAAAUACAUAACCUAGUAGCUAAUCCUCGAUCCAAAAGUAAAAACUACUCAUGAGUCAGCUUCUCUCUCUCCUUUUAAAAAAAAGAAAUCAUUAGUAGCAAGCAGGGGCGGUACCAAGGGGGGCCUAGCAGGGGCUACAACCCCCCUCACUUCUAAAAGCUUAAAAAAUUACACUAAUUUUUUUUUUUUUACACUUAGCCCCUGGCUCCGCCGUCGGUAGCAAGUCAGAAAAAAUGAAUUAGAAUGACGGAAUUUAGACAAAACAUUGUAAAACGCGGCUGGGAAAGUUGAGGGGCAACACUAAAUGAGAAACUGAAAGAGGAUGUAAAUAACUCACUUAUAGGCUGCAUCACGGAUUUCAAAAUUUGAUUAUAAUUAUUUAACGAGAAAUAGCCAAUAUUUAGAAUAUUAUAGCUAUGUAAAAGGAUUUCAACAUUGAUAUUGACCUUCGUCAUGCCUGAUUAAAAUGACUAUUUAAUAAGUGCAAUUUGAAUUCACAUCUCUUUACCUUGUAAAUUCUCGUACCUAAAUUUCUAUACUUGUUUAAAAUUAACACAUAAAUGUCUAGAUUUGAAUCCACAUAUAGGCAAAAUGGCGCCCUACAUUGAUUUCAAAUUCACCUUAAAACCCCCUCAUAGUAAAUCCCUCAAAAUUUUUUUAUUCUUAAAAACAUAUCUAAACUAUAGAACUCAAUACUCGAGCUAUUCUCCUUCAAUUAA